rnacentral:rRNA from 1 species
UACGAAGGGGGCUAGCGUUGUUCGGAAUUACUGGGCGUAAAGCGCACGUAGGCGGAUAUUUAAGUCAGGGGUGAAAUCCCAGAGCUCAACUCUGGAACUGCCUUUGAUACUGGGUAUCUCGAGUAUGGAAGAGGUGAGUGGAAUUCCGAGUGUAGAGGUGAAAUUCAUAGAUAUUCGGAGGAACACCAGUGGCGAAGGCGGCUCACUGGUCCAUUACUGACGCUGAGGUGCGAAAGCGUGGGGAGCAAACAGG